UACGAAGGGGGCUAGCGUUGCUCGGAAUUACUGGGCGUAAAGCGCACGUAGGCGGCUUUCUAAGUCGGGGGUGAAAUCCUGGAGCUCAACUCCAGAACUGCCUUUGAUACUGAGGAUCUUGAGUUCGGGGAGAGGUGAGUGGAACUGCGAGUGUAGAGGUGAAAUUCGUAGAUAUUCGCAAGAACACCAGUGGCGAAGGCAGCUCGCUGGGACGUGACUGACGCUGAGACGCGAAAGCGUGGGGAGCAAACAGG
rnacentral:rRNA from 1 species